rnacentral:lncRNA from 1 species
UUGUUGAACUUCUCUUUGUCUGAGAAAAUCUCCUUGUUCUGGAACUCACCGUACGAGCUGUAGAUCACAACGUGUCCUUGCUUGUCAACUCCGUGAGUGAACACCAUCUUCUCGAACUCGGCCCCUUGGAGAUCUUCUGCCACGAGGUCGUCGAUGUUGUUUUCUUUGCGCCAUUGGACCGUGUUUUUCAGCAUGGUGAAGGCUUCUUUGACCUUGAAGUCGCGGGCUCGGAGGAACUUGAGGAGGAUUACGUCGGAUCUUUCGUCCUCGAGAAGUGGGAUGCCCCAGAUCGAGACUUCUUCUGGCUCUACUGAGACAGCCGUCUCUGGAAGAGUGAUGGAGACGAUCGAUUCUUCUUCGAUUGCUUCGACGGUUUUGGUUGCUUCUUCUUGUUCAGCUGCGAAAGCCUUCUCAAUUGUUACCACUUCUGUGGUGACUGGAGUAGCUGGUUUGGUCUCUACAGGGGCAGAGGUGACUGCUUUCUCUUCUUCUUUCUUGGUCUCUGUGGUGACCGGAGCAGCCGGUUUGGUCUCUACCGGAGCCGGUUUCUCUUCCUUCUUGGUCUCGGUGGUGGCCGGAGCAGCCGCUUUGGUCUCUACCGGAGCCGGUUUCUCGUCCUUCUUGGUCUCAGUGGUGACCGGAGCGGGUGUCUCUUGUUUCGCAAUGAAACAUUAUUUACUUGAAUAUGGUUUCAGCGGUUUUGGAUGGACCAGCAAGGACCAUCUUGCUCCUUGUCCUUGGAGAUAUAAUGAUAUUCCCGAAUGUUUUGUAGUAAGGAAUGUACCACCAUGGGACAUUAAUGAACAGCUGACACAUACCUCAAUUUACACAUUAACAUUUUAAAAAAAAAUUGUAAUCAUGAUGAAAAUGUUGAUGUUUUUACCUCUUUAGCGACGAACUCAGGAUAGUUGUCUUCGAACUGCUUAACGGCACGUCUAAUAAACUGCCACAAUGAUCUCUUACCGAGCCCUGGCGCGUUCCUGAAGUCACUAACGAACACGAACGAGGACUUAGCCUCGGGGCUAAAGUCAAGAGACCUCACACACUUCUCUUGGAACUGAAUCCUCCACUUGAGGAACUUGUUGAGCUUCUCCUUGUCUGAGAAAAUCUCCUUGUUCUGGAACUCACCGUACGAGCUGUAGAUCACAACGUGUCCUUGCUUGUCAACUCCGUGAGUGAACACCAUCUUCUCGAACUCGGCCCCUUGGAGAUCUUCUGCCACGAGGUCGUCGAUGUUGUUUUCUUUGCGCCAUUGGACCGUGUUUUUCAGCAUGGUGAAGGCUUCUUUGACCUUGAAGUCGCGGGCUCGGAGGAACUUGAGGAGGAUUACGUCGGAUCUUUCGUCCUCGAGAAGUGGGAUGCCCCAGAUCGAGAC